rnacentral:rRNA from 1 species
UACGUAGGGGUGCGAGCGUUGUCCGGAAUUACUGGGCGUAAAGAGCUCGUAGGUGGUUUGUCGCGUUGUCCGUGAAAACUCACAACUCAAUUGUGGGCGUGCGGGCGAUACGGGCAGACUGGAGUACUGCAGGGGAGACUGGAAUUCCUGGUGUAGCGGUGGAAUGCGCAGAUAUCAGGAGGAACACCGGUGGCGAAGGCGGGUCUCUGGGUUUCACCUGACACUGAGGCGCGAAAGCGUGGGGAGCGAACGGG